CCUACGGGAGGCAGCAGUGAGGAAUAUUGGUCAAUGGCCGGAAGGCUGAACCAGCCAUGCCGCGUGAAGGUCAGUGCCCUAUGGGCGUUAAACUUCUUUUGUGCGGGAGCAAUAAUGGUCACGUGUGGCCAGACGAGAGUACCGUACGAAUAAGCAUCGGCUAACUCCGUGACAGCAGCCGCGGUAAUACGGGGGAUGCAAGCGUUAUCCGGAUUUAUUGGGUUUAAAGGGUGCGUAGGCUGUGAGGUAAGUCAGCGGUGAAAUGCCCCCGGUCAACGGGGUGAAGUGCCAUUGAUACUGGCUAGCUGGAGUGCGGAUGCGGUGGGAGGAAUGUGUGGUGUAGCGGUGAAAUGCGUAGAUAUCACACAGAACACCGAUUGCGAAGGCAUCUCACGAAUCCGCGAUUGACGCUGAUGCACGAAAGCGUGGGUAUCAAACAGGAUUAGAUACCCCAGUAGUC
rnacentral:rRNA from 1 species